GGUUGGACAAGUUUGUACUUGAUUCCAAGAAAUUUGUUUCCAGGGUGGGAAACU
rfam:Clostridium beijerinckii NCIMB 8052, complete genome.